GCCUACGGGGCGUAGCAGUGAGGAAUAUUGGUCAAUGGUCGGGAGACUGAACCAGCCAAGCCGCGUGAGGGAUGAAGGUACAGAGUAUCGUAAACCUCUUUUGUCAGGGAACAAAGGCGGGGACGUGUCCCCGGAUGAGUGUACCUGAAGAAAAAGCAUCGGCUAACUCCGUGCCAGCAGCCGCGGUAAUACGGAGGAUGCGAGCGUUAUCCGGAUUUAUUGGGUUUAAAGGGUGCGCAGGCGGUCUGUUAAGUCAGCGGUCAAAGCCCGGGGCUCAACCCCGGCCCGCCGUUGAAGCUGGCAGG
rnacentral:rRNA from 1 species